UACCAGGUAAACCAAUUGGGC
rnacentral:snRNA from 1 species